rnacentral:rRNA from 1 species
UAAGCGACUAAGCGUACACGGUGGAUGCCCUGGCAGUCAGAGGCGAUGAAGGACGUGCUAAUCUGCGAUAAGCGUCGGUAAGGUGAUAUGAACCGUUAUAACCGGCGAUUUCCGAAUGGGGAAACCCAGUGUGUUUCGACACACUAUCAUUAACUGAAUCCAUAGGUUAAUGAGGCGAACCGGGGGAACUGAAACAUCUAAGUACCCCCGAGGAAAAGAAAUCAACCGAGAUUCCCCCAGUAGCGGCGAGCGAACGGGGAGCAGCCCAGAGCCUGAAUCAGUGUGUGUGUUAGUGGAAGCGUCUGGAAAGGCGCGCGAUACAGGGUGACAGCCCCGUACACAAAAAUGCACAUGCUGUGAGCUCGAUGAGUAGGGCGGGACACGUGGUAUCCUGUCUGAAUAUGGGGGGACCAUCCUCCAAGGCUAAAUACUCCUGACUGACCGAUAGUGAACCAGUACCGUGAGGGAAAGGCGAAAAGAACCCCGGCGAGGGGAGUGAAAAAGAACCUGAAACCGUGUACGUACAAGCAGUGGGAGCACGCUUAGGCGUGUGACUGCGUACCUUUGUAUAAUGGGUCAGCGACUUAUAUUCUGUAGCAAGGUUAACCGAAUAGGGGAGCCGAAGGGAAACCGAGUCUUAACUGGGCGUUAAGUUGCAGGGUAUAGACCCGAAACCCGGUGAUCUAGCCAUGGGCAGGUUGAAGGUUGGGUAACACUAACUGGAGGACCGAACCGACUAAUGUUGAAAAAUUAGCGGAUGACUUGUGGCUGGGGGGUGAAAGGCCAAUCAAACCGGGAGAUAGCUGGUUCUCCCCGAAAGCUAUUUAGGUAGCGCCUCGUGAAUUCAUCUCCGGGGGUAGAGCACUGUUUCGGCAAGGGGGUCAUCCCGACUUACCAACCCGAUGCAAACUGCGAAUACCGGAGUAUGUUAUCACGGGAGACACACGGCGGGUGCUAACGUCCGUCGUGAAGAGGGAAACAACCCAGACCGCCAGCUAAGGUCCCAAAGUCAUGGUUAAGUGGGAAACGAUGUGGGAAGGCCCAGACAGCCAGGAUGUUGGCUUAGAAGCAGCCAUCAUUUAAAGAAAGCGUAAUAGCUCACUGGUCGAGUCGGCCUGCGCGGAAGAUGUAACGGGGCUAAACCAUGCACCGAAGCUGCGGCAGCGACGCUUAUGCGUUGUUGGGUAGGGGAGCGUUCUGUAAGCCUGCGAAGGUGUGCUGUGAGGCAUGCUGGAGGUAUCAGAAGUGCGAAUGCUGACAUAAGUAACGAUAAAGCGGGUGAAAAGCCCGCUCGCCGGAAGACCAAGGGUUCCUGUCCAACGUUAAUCGGGGCAGGGUGAGUCGACCCCUAAGGCGAGGCCGAAAGGCGUAGUCGAUGGGAAACAGGUUAAUAUUCCUGUACUUGGUGUUACUGCGAAGGGGGGACGGAGAAGGCUAUGUUGGCCGGGCGACGGUUGUCCCGGUUUAAGCGUGUAGGCUGGUUUUCCAGGCAAAUCCGGAAAAUCAAGGCUGAGGCGUGAUGACGAGGCACUACGGUGCUGAAGCAACAAAUGCCCUGCUUCCAGGAAAAGCCUCUAAGCAUCAGGUAACAUCAAAUCGUACCCCAAACCGACACAGGUGGUCAGGUAGAGAAUACCAAGGCGCUUGAGAGAACUCGGGUGAAGGAACUAGGCAAAAUGGUGCCGUAACUUCGGGAGAAGGCACGCUGAUAUGUAGGUGAAGUCCCUCGCGGAUGGAGCUGAAAUCAGUCGAAGAUACCAGCUGGCUGCAACUGUUUAUUAAAAACACAGCACUGUGCAAACACGAAAGUGGACGUAUACGGUGUGACGCCUGCCCGGUGCCGGAAGGUUAAUUGAUGGGGUUAGCGCAAGCGAAGCUCUUGAUCGAAGCCCCGGUAAGCGGCGGCCGUAACUAUAACGGUCCUAAGGUAGCGAAAUUCCUUGUCGGGUAAGUUCCGACCUGCACGAAUGGCGUAAUGAUGGCCAGGCUGUCUCCACCCGAGACUCAGUGAAAUUGAACUCGCUGUGAAGAUGCAGUGUACCCGCGGCAAGACGGAAAGACCCCGUGAACCUUUACUAUAGCUUGACACUGAACAUUGAGCCUUGAUGUGUAGGAUAGGUGGGAGGCUUUGAAGUGUGGACGCCAGUCUGCAUGGAGCCGACCUUGAAAUACCACCCUUUAAUGUUUGAUGUUCUAACGUUGACCCGUGAUCCGGGUUGCGGACAGUGUCUGGUGGGUAGUUUGACUGGGGCGGUCUCCUCCUAAAGAGUAACGGAGGAGCACGAAGGUUGGCUAAUCCUGGUCGGACAUCAGGAGGUUAGUGCAAUGGCAUAAGCCAGCUUGACUGCGAGCGUGACGGCGCGAGCAGGUGCGAAAGCAGGUCAUAGUGAUCCGGUGGUUCUGAAUGGAAGGGCCAUCGCUCAACGGAUAAAAGGUACUCCGGGGAUAACAGGCUGAUACCGCCCAAGAGUUCAUAUCGACGGCGGUGUUUGGCACCUCGAUGUCGGCUCAUCACAUCCUGGGGCUGAAGUAGGUCCCAAGGGUAUGGCUGUUCGCCAUUUAAAGUGGUACGCGAGCUGGGUUUAGAACGUCGUGAGACAGUUCGGUCCCUAUCUGCCGUGGGCGCUGGAGAACUGAGGGGGGCUGCUCCUAGUACGAGAGGACCGGAGUGGACGCAUCACUGGUGUUCGGGUUGUCAUGCCAAUGGCACUGCCCGGUAGCUAAAUGCGGAAGAGAUAAGUGCUGAAAGCAUCUAAGCACGAAACUUGCCCCGAGAUGAGUUCUCCCUGACUCCUUGAGAGUCCUGAAGGAACGUUGAAGACGACGACGUUGAUAGGCCGGGUGUGUAAGCGCAGCGAUGCGUUGAGCUAACCGGUACUAAUGAACCGUGAGGCUUAACCU